AGGAGAUUAGCGUCUGCAGCAUAGUCCUGUUCCUUUAAAAAAAAAAAAAAAAAGAGAGAGAGAGAGAGAGACAGAAUCUCACUGCGUAUCCCUGGCUGUCCUGGAACUCAGCAGAGAUCACCUAUCCCUACAAGUUGUAACAACUCUUACUUAUGGGGUGGGGGUAGGAAGCAGGGAUUUCCCCAGCUCUUGACUCUGGCCUUCUACCAGCUUCCAGGCUGGCCUCGAUUUUGGGAUUUCUCGGCACUUCACAGCAGAGACAGUCUGCAGAGGAUGCUAACUUAUGUCAGAGAAAGCCGGAAGGAUGGCGCGGGCCGGUUGCUGGAGAAUGCUAGGAAGGGCGGAUGCCCUUCCACAUGGCCAACAUCUACUCCAGUGCUGUAUUGAUGAUCAGGAGCCAGCAUUUGCUAACUGUCUCAUGGCCAGCAUCUCCUCCAGUGCUGUAUUGAUCAGGAGCCAGCAUUUGCUAACUGUCACAUGGUCAGCAUCUCCUCUAGUGCUGUAUUAUUGAUGAACACAAGUCAGCACUUGUUACCUGUCUUACAAUAUGUAUGUUACAAAACAUAGAGAACCUGUGAUUUUCCCAUUUGAAAAGCUAGUAAAUUGUAGAACCAAGAUCCAUAACCAUGCAGCUUGUUGCCAGAGACUCCAUUCUUAGCUAUAUCUCAUGCUCUAUCUUAAAAACGGGGAUCCAGCCAGGUGUUGGUGGCGCAUGCCUUUAAUCCCAGCACUCGGGAUGCAGAGGCAGGCGGAUCUCUGUGAGUUCGAGACCAACCUGGUCUACAAGAGCUAGUUCCAGGACAGCCUCCAAAGCCACAGAGAAACCCUGUCUUGAAAAAUAAAACAAAACAAAAAAAAAUGGGGAUCCAUUUCCUGCCAAGCAUGUUAUCUACACCUUUAAUAUCAAACCAGGUUACUUCUUA